AGAACGAACGCUGGCGGCAUGCCUAACACAUGCAAGUCGAACGCUCGUCUUCGGACGGGAGUGGCGCACGGGUGAGUAACGCGUGGGAACCUGCCCUGGGGUGGGGAUAACCGAUGGAAACGUCGGCUAAUACCGCAUACGUCCUGAGGGAGAAAGAUUUAUCGCCCUGGGAGGGGCCCGCGUCGGAUUAGCUAGUUGGUGGGGUAACGGCCUACCAAGGCGAUGAUCCGUAGCUGGUCUGAGAGGAUGAUCAGCCACACUGGGACUGAGACACGGCCCAGACUCCUACGGGAGGCAGCAGUGGGGAAUAUUGGACAAUGGGCGCAAGCCUGAUCCAGCAAUGCCGCGUGAGUGAUGAAGGCCUUAGGGUUGUAAAGCUCUUUCGGCGGGGACGAUGAUGACGGUACCCGCAGAGAAGCCCCGGCUAACUUCGCGCCAGCAGCCGC
rnacentral:rRNA from 1 species